GACGAACGCUGGCGGCGUGCUUAACACAUGCAAGUCGAACGGAAAGGCCCUGCUUUUGUGGGGUGCUCGAGUGGCGAACGGGUGAGUAACACGUGAGUAACCUGCCCUUGACUUUGGGAUAACUUCAGGAAACUGGGGCUAAUACCGGAUAGCAGCUCCUGCUGCAUGGUGGGGGUUGGAUCGUUUCGGCGGUUGGGGAUGGACUCGCGGCUUAUCGGCUUGUUGGUGGGGUAGUGGCUUACCAAGGCUUUGACGGGUAGCCGGCCUGUGAGGGUGACCGGCCACAUUGAGACUGAGAGACGGCACAGACUCCUACGAGAGGCAGCAGUGGGGAAGAUUGCACAAGGGGUGGAGGCCUGAUGCAGCAACGCCGUGUGCGGGAUGACGGCUUUGGGGUGGUAAAAAGCUUUCGCGCAUGACGAAGCUUUGUGUGACGGUAGUGGGUAAAGAAGCACCGGCUAACUACGUG
rnacentral:rRNA from 1 species